rnacentral:rRNA from 1 species
UACGAUGAGUAUGUCAAGCAUUGUUCACGAAUUGAUGUGGCCUUAUAAGCUAGCUGCAGGGCCGGGUUUGUUUACGUCGUACACGUUGCAUAGCCUUCCGGCUUCUAGCCAGAGGACGGGUCAAUGGAAAUCGAGGAGACGUUGUAGUGCAGAAGAGAGAGGUAGAAUUCCAUAGUGUUAGCGGUGAAUGCGUAGCUUUAUGGAUGAACGACAGUGGCGAAGGCAGGCUCCUCUGGUCUGUUACUGACGCGAGGCUCGAAAAGCGUGGCGAAGCAAACAGGAUUAGAUAACCCUGGUAGUCCACGCCCGUACACGAUGAGUGAUAAGUUUCUGGAGGGUGUACGCCCCUCAGUGCUGCAGCUAACGCAUUAAGCACUCCGCGUGGGGAGUACGACCGCAAGGUUGAAACUCAAAGGAAUUGACAGGGGCCCGCACAAGCGGUGGAGCAUGUGGUUUAAUUCGAAGCAACGCGAAGAACCUUACCAGGUCUUGACAUCCUUUGACCACUCUAGAGAUAGAGCUUCCCCUUCGGGGGCAAAGUGACAGGUGGUGCAUGGUUGUCGUCAGCUCGUGUCGUGAGAUGUUGGGUUAAGUCCCGCAACGAGCGCAACCCUUAUUGUUAGUUGCCAUCAUUCAGUUGGGCACUCUAGCAAGACUGCCGGUGACAAACCGGAGGAAGGUGGGGAUGACGUCAAAUCAUCAUGCCCCUUAUGACCUGGGCUACACACGUGCUACAAUGGGAAGUACAACGAGUUGCGAAGUCGCGAGGCUAAGCUAAUCUCUUAAAGCUUCUCUCAGUUCGGAUUGCAGGCUGCAACUCGCCUGCAUGAAGCCGGAAUCGCUAGUAAUCGCGGAUCAGCACGCCGCGGUGAAUACGUUCCCGGGCCUUGUACACACCGCCCGUCACACCACGAGAGUUUGUAACACCCGAAGUCGGUGAGGUAACCUUUUUGAGCCAGCCGCAUAAGGGGAAAAAUUGGA